rnacentral:rRNA from 1 species
GCUUGUCUCAAAGAUUAAGCCAUGCAUGUCUUAGUGUAAAUAACUCUUAUGAAACUGCGAAUGGCUCAUUAAAUCAGUUAUCAAAUACGUGAUGGUCGCCUACUACAUGGAUAACCGUAGUAAUUCUAGAGCUAAUACAUGCACAAAGGCCCACUCACGUGGGUUGUGAUUAUUAGAUUCAAACCGGCCUCGUUCUGGUGAUUCAUAAUAAUUGGUCGAACCGCAUGCCCUUGUGGUGGCGGUGAUUCAUUCAAAUUUCUGCCCUAUCAACUUUCGAUGGUAGGAUAGUGGCCUACCAUGGUGGCAACGGGUAACGGGGAAUUAGGGUUCGAUUCCGGAGAGGGAGCCUGAGAAACGGCUACCACAUCCAAGGAAGGCAGCAGG